rnacentral:lncRNA from 1 species
GAGUUGUUAAUUUUAUAAAUAUUCUGAAAUGAAUUUAAAAAUAACCUAAAAAUAAAGUUUUGCUUUUUUUUAAACCGAUGCUCUCUCAUACUACAGUACUAGACUUUCCCUUUUUCACACAAUCCAGCAAUCUAUCUAUCUAGGACAUGCACAGUCUGAAACCCACUCAAUUAAGAUGGUUAGGGAGUAUUUCGUAUCGAGUAUUGGAGGAGACCUGUUGUGUAGUUUAUAUACAUUGCAUAGUUAUCCUGCAAUUAAUUAACAUGUUCACAAUAGGGAAAAGGAAUCAAAAUGUUUUAUCUAUUGAAACCAAAGUUAACAUAAUAAAUCGAUUAGAAAAAGGUGAAACCAUA